GAGAUGGAUUGGUGGCCUUCGGGAACGUCUGACACAGGUGCUGCAUGGCUGUCGUCAGCUCGUGUCGUGAGAUGUUGGGUUAAGUCCGUAACGAGCGCAACCCUUGUCCUUAGUUACCAGCACGUUAUGGUGGGCACUCUAAGGAGACUGCCGGUGACAAACCGGAGGAAGGUGGGGGAGUGACGUCAAGUCAUCAUGGCCCUUACGGCCUGGGCUACACACGUGCUACAAUGGUCGGUACAAAGGGUUGCCAAGCCGCGAGGUGGAGCUAAUCCCAUAAAACCGAUCGUAGUCCGGAUCGCAGUCUGCAACUCGACUGCGUGAAGUCGGAAUCGCUAGUAAUCGUGAAUCAGAAUGUCACGGUGAAUACGUUCCCGGGCCUU
rnacentral:rRNA from 1 species